GUCUAUGGCCAUGCCACCCUGAACGAGCCUGAUGUCUGAUCUCAGAAGCUAAGCAGGGUCGGGCCUGGUUAGUACUUGGAUGGGAGACCACCUAGAAAGACCAGGUGUUGUAGCUG
rnacentral:rRNA from 1 species